CCCUUAGAUGUUCUGGGCCGCACACGCGCUACACUGAAGGAGGCAGCGUGUACUCCUGGAUCGAAAGAUUUGGGUAACCCGCGAAUCUCCUUCGUGCUAGGGAUUGAGGUUUGCAAUUAUCCUUCAUGAACGAGGAAUUCCCAGUAAGUGCAAGUCAUAAGCUUGCGCUGACUACGUCCCUGCCCUUUGUACACACCGCCCGUCGCUACUACCGAUUGAAUGAUUUAGUGAGGACUUCGGACUGGGACCGAUGCGGCUUUCGGGCUGCGUCGGUAUUCUGGAAAGAUGUCCAAACUGUAUCAUUUAGAGGAGGUAAAAGUCGUANCA
rnacentral:rRNA from 1 species